ACAGCAUGACUUUUGAGGCUAUGUUCAAAAAGGUUGUACAGCAGCUCCCCAGUUCUUCUGGGACACUUGCCCUGGGGGCCAACAGGGGUCAUGGAAGAAGUCUGUCUACGUGGAGACUACCCGGCUGCGGGGACCAUCCGAAGCACCAACGGCCACUUAGGGGAGAGCUGUGUUGGCAACAAGAUGCAAGUGCCAAAUAAUGCUACCUGGUAACACAUGAACCAAAGAAAAUACAAACGAGUAAGGAAACUGUCUUCCUUCAAGAUAUUAGGUACAUAAGACAAAGCAUCCAAUCACAGGUGGCACUGUCUCUCACAUUUGGAACUGCAGGGAUUCAAAAUGAAAAUACCUCUCAAGGAAGCCAUUCCAGUGAAUAUAACGGGGCAGGGGAUAUGUUAACUAACUAUUUGGACAAAAAAAAAAGAAAAGAAAAGAAAAGCAUAAAACAACA